UGUGGGUGAGAAUGUGAAUUGGUACAACUUAUGGAGGACAGUAUGGAGGUUCCUUACAAAACUACAAAUAGAAUUACCAUAUGACUCAGUAAUCCUACUCCUAGGCAAAUAAUCCAGAAAAAAAAGUAUAAUUUGAAGGUAUACAUGUACCUGCAAUGUUCAUAACAGCACUGUUUAUAAUUGCUGAGAUAUGGAAGUAACAUAAAUGUCCAUCAGUGACAUUGGAUGCAUGGAUAAAGAAGAUGUGUAUAUAUGCAAUGGAAUAAUAGUCAUAAAAAAGAAUGAAGUAAUGCCAUUUGCAGCAACAUGGAUGGACCUAGAGAUUAUCAUACUAAGUGAAGUCAGCUGUAGAAAGACAGCUAUUAUAUGAUAAUACUUAUGGGUGGAAUCUUAAAAAAAGGAUACAAAUGAUCUUAUUUACAAAUCAGAAAUAGACUUACAGACAUAGAAAACAAUCUUAUGGUUAUCAGAGGGGAGAGGUGAAGAGGGAUAAAGUAGGAGUUUGGGAUUAAAAUAUAAAUAGUUCUAUGUAUAAAAUAGAUAGCCAACAAGGACCUACUGUUUAGCACAGGGAGCUAUACCUAUUAUCUUAUAAUAACCUAUAAUGUAAGAGAAUAUAAAAAAGAGUAUUUAUAUUUAUAUAUACCUAUAACUGAAUCACUUUCCUGUACAAUUGAAACUAACAUAACAUCAUAUAUCAAGUAUAUUUCAAUAUUUUAAAAAAAUAUUUAAAAAAUCAAUGUGUAGUUUAAAUAGCAGAUCAGACAUAGCUGAGGGAAGAAUUAGUGAACUGAAAAAAUUAUUCAAAAUUUAGCACAAAUAUAAAAUAUGGAAAUAUAAAGUUUUAGAAACGUGGAGAACAAUAUAAGGUGUAAUAUAAGUUGAAGGAACUACUAGAAAAGGAAUAGAGGAAGUGGGAAAAGGUAAUAUUUGCAGAGAUAAUGGCCCAAAAUAAUUUCAUGAAAAGCAUGGCAUAAGGGAAGUAAAUAAAUAACAAGCAGGAUAAAGUAGAAAAAAAUUUACCCCUUCAUUCUUUGUGAUGAAACAAAACAGAAAAGCAAAGAGGAGCCCUCAAAAGCAGCCAAGGGGGCAAAGUGGGUCAUCUUAAAGAAAUAACAAAAAAUGAAAGCUGUAAGAUAAAGGGACUUCUGAAAGAAAGAAGGCAAGAUGUAACCACAGACGGGAAGUAGGAGACUGAAGAAGAAAUGAUACUCAAAUAAGUUGGUAAACAGGUAGAUAAACAAUGUGUGAAAAAAUGAAAAUAGUACUAUCUUAUUUAUAGGUUAAAAAAAAGGAACAGAGCUAAAGAAAAAAUGUUAGGUCGGUGAAGAGAGUGUUAAAGUCUUCUAGAGAGUGCUCAGUACUUCCCCAAAUGGCUGCCACCAGUGUCUUUGUCCCAAGAAUGAGCUUAAGUUGCCUCCUGCCUCUCUGGGAGGCUCUCUAAGAUGAGUGUAUGGGUCUGAGCCAGGCUUCUUUUAAAUUAUUGCUUCUUCCCUGGGUCCCAGAGCAUGUGAAAUUUUGUGUGCACCCUUUAGGAGUGGAGUCUCUAUUUCCCACAGUAUUCUUGCUCUUCUAAAAGUAAGCUCCACUAGCCUUUAAAGCCAAAUUUUCUGUGGAAAAUUUUUUUUUGGUGCAAGACCCCAUCUGGCUGGGGAGCCUAAUGUGGGGAUUAGACCUCUUGCUCAUUGGAAAGAACUUCAAGGGUAAUUAUACUCUCAUUUCUGUAUGGGUGUGGGUCUUAUCUAUAUUGCUUCUCCACCUCACCUAUCCAUCUCACUGUGAUUCCUUCAUAUAUUUAGUUGUAGGGUAUCUUGUCUGCUGAUGAUCUUCUAGUCUCUCUCAUCAAUUGUUGCUCUUUAAGCAGUUGUGAUUUUUGUGUACCCAUGGAAAAAGGUGAGCUUGGGGUCUUUCUACUCUGCCACACCCCCUAAUGCCAAUUAUAACCCCUGAUUAGGUUGGUUAAUUCUCAAACAGAGGCUUGGCUGAAUUUAGCUACACUUUAGGUAACAAGAUUCUAGAGUUCUUUUUAUUAUUUGAGGGUGUAAGAUGCUGAAUAACUUUAGCAUUUGAAAGGUAAAUGAACAUCAUAUAAUUUUUAAGGUAAUCACAAAAUAAAAUGUGUAUAAGAGCCGAAAGAUUCAAAAUAUAGAGGAGUAAUAGGAGCAUAUAAAUAUAAUAAUAUAUCCAAAUAUAACAAAUCCAAAUAUAUCAGUGAUCACAGUAAACAUAAAUGGAAUAAACUUGAUGGGUAAACAACAGAAAUAUUUUAUAUGUUAUCUUUGAAGACUUAGAAAUGUAUGGGAAAAGUAUGACUGGAAAAAGAUAUGCUAGGCAUACUAAUCAAAAAAAAGGGGGGAAAAGCAAAGAUAGCUAUUUUAAUAUCAGAAAAAUAUAUCUCUGAUAAAAAUAAUUAUUUGGCAUAGAGAAGGUCAAUAUAUAAUGAUUAUAGGUUUAAUUUACUAGGAUUUAUAACAACUCUAAAUGUGUAGCCACCCAAUAAAAUAACUUCAAUUAUUAUAGAUGAGUAAGAAUAAUAAGACCUCUGAAAUUUUUGGUGGGAAUAUAAAUUCAUACAGUCCACUUUGAAGAGCAAUAUAACUUUAUAUUCAAAGUUUAAUGGCCUCAUAUAAUAUGAUUCAUUAUAUUCAUGUAAAUUAAUGAGUUUAAAAUUGUAUACCCUAAAGAAAAUAUUGUAAUUGUGGCAAGAAUAUUCAUAGUAUUAUUAUCAUUUGUAAUUGCAGAAAACUAGAAACAUCUGAAAUGGGUAUCAACAGGAAAAUAAAUAAAUGGUGGUCAGUUUAAACAAUGGAAUAUUAAGUAGCAGCAAAAAUAAAUGAAUUCCUGCUAUACAUAACAUGGCUGUAUCUUAGAAAAUGUUAUUUCAUGAAAAACUCAAGUCAUUGAAGACUGCAUGUAGUAUAAUUCCACUUUUAUAAUAUCAAUAACAAACAAAAGUAAACAAAUUGUUUAGGGACAGAUACAUAUUUGAAAAGCUAUUGACAAUUUUUAAAUCAAGAGAAUAUACAUCCAAAAAUAAAUUAGUGGUUCAAUCUGGUGGCAUGAGAAUUGGAGAGAGGAGGAAAACUUAGGUAGGUGCUAAUGCAUUUACUAUGCUAUUCUUUGUGUGGUGGAUUAAUGGACCUUCUUUUAUUAAUAUGUUUGACAUAUAUAUGAUACUUAUAUUCUCUUGUAAUCAGAUAUUGUGUUAUGAAAAAUUUUAAUUUAAAACUAUAUGUGGCAUAUCCCAUACCUAACAUAUGGCAAACAACACAAAAUUUUAGGUUUUGCUGUUAUAAAGAAAAAAAAUCUCCAGGGAAUUAAAUAAUUGCCGACAUUUGGAGGAAAAUUAGCCUUCACUAGUGGAAGGGUCAAAAGUAGUAUGAGGGCACAGAGAUCCUGUUGGGUUCGUGGGAGGAAUGAUGGGGAUGAGGGGAUAAGUUAAAGAAGCCUUAAAGGAAAAGAUGGGGGGUCCUGAAUGCAAAGAAUUUUUCCAGUACACAUCUGCCUUAUAACAUUGUGCCUUUCUUUUGAGAUGUUCAAAUUAUUUUGGAAAAUGCUAUAUAGUACAUUUAGCAUAGUCUCUUCUUUCAUUUUCCAACUCACAAUGUUCAUUAACAUUUUAUGAACAGUGCUCAUUAACAUUUGUGAGAAACCAUACCAAUUAGCUAAUAAAAAAUGAAAUGCUAUUUAGCUUUAUUUAACUGAACAUUGUCCACUUUGACCAUGAGGCUCUUUUUCCUCCAUGUGACAACAAUUUACAUCUAAUAGAAUUGACUUUUCUUGGUCUAUGUAAUUUUACCUAAAGGCAGUAGAGGUGUAGGGCCACAUGUCAGUCAGAGCUCUGAGGUGAACUGAAACAACUUCAUAUCACCUGGGAGGGACUGUAAAGAAUUUAAAAUUUGAAAGUUAAAUCAGGCAUGGGCAUAGUCACCAUGUUAGUUUGCAUAUUAAAAUUCAUCUUUAUACUUAACCCUUGUGUUAAUACAGACUUAAGUUUCUGAAGGAAUUGUGCACAUGCAUAAUUAGUGUGUGCAUUUGUGUGUACAUGUAAGUGUGUACAUGUAACAUUAUUUUUUUCUGAUAAAUGAACUGACAGCAAUAUGUAGCUACCAUAUCCUUUCUAAAUCUAAAUUUGGGGAUUUAAGUUAUUAAGGUUUUGAUGACCUGGAACAAAUGGUUCAGCUGGUCAAAGAUUUGGAGGAAUGUAGCUGAAGAG
rnacentral:lncRNA from 1 species